rnacentral:rRNA from 1 species
AUGUCCGGGAUCUCGGCGGGGAAGCGGCUGUGGGACGCCGGGUUGAGGGACCUGCUGAUCCUGGAGGCGACGGAGCGCGUGGGCGGGCGGAUGCACAAGCACAACUUCGGCGGCCUCAACGUGGAGAUCGGGGCCAACUGGGUGGAGGGCCUCAACGGGGACAAGGUCAACCCCAUCUGGCCCAUGGUCAACGCCAGCCUCCAGCUCCGCAACUUCUACUCCGACUUCGACGGCGUCGUCGGCAACGUCUACAAGGAGAGCGGUGGCCUUUACGACGAGGAGUUCGUGCAGAAGAGAAUGGACCGCGGCGACGAGGUGGAGGAGCUGGGCGGCAAGCUCGCCGCCAAGAUGGAUCCCAGCGGCCGCGACGACAUGUCCAUCUUGGCCAUGCAGCGCCUCUUCAACCACCAGCCGAACGGGCCGGCGACGCCGGUGGACAUGGUGCUCGACUACUUCAGGUACGACUACGAGUUCGCCGAGCCGCCGCGCGUCACCAGCCUGCAGGGCACCGAGCCGACGGCCACCUUCGCCGACUUCGGGGACGACGCGCACUUCGUCGCCGAUCAGCGGGGAUUCGAGACCCUCAUAUAUCACAUCGCCGGCCAGUACCUGCGUUCCGACAAGUCCGGGAACAUCAUAGAUCCUAGGGUCAAGCUCAACAAGGUGGUGCGUGAGAUCUCCUACAAGCAGAGAGGCGUGGUGGUGACUACGGAGGACAACUCAGCGUACAGCGCAGACUACGUGAUCGUGUCCGCGAGCAUAGGGGUCCUGCAAAGCGAUCUCAUACAGUUCAAGCCUCAGCUUCCAGCAUGGAAGAUCCUUGCCAUCUACCGAUUUGACAUGGGCGUGUACACCAAGAUCUUCCUCGAGUUCCCCAGGAAGUUCUGGCCAACGGGCCCCGGGAAGCAGUUCUUCGUCUACGCCAGCUCCAGGAGAGGCUACUACGGGAUGUGGCAGUCGUUCGAGCAGGAGUACCCGGGUGCCAACGUGCUGAUGGUGACGGUGACGGACGUGGAGUCGCGGCGGAUCGAGCAGCAGCCCGACAAUGUCACGAUGGCGGAGGCCGUGGGCGUGCUGCGGAACAUGUUCCCCGACCGGGACGUCCCCGACGCCACCGAUAUCUACGUGCCGCGCUGGUGGUCCAACCGCUUCUUCAAGGGCUCCUACUCCAACUGGCCCGUCGGCGUCAACCGCUACGAGUACGACCAGCUCCGGGCGCCGGUUGGCGGGCGGGUCUACUUCACCGGGGAGCACACCAGCGAGCGCUACAACGGCUACGUCCACGGAGCUUAUCUUGCAGGUCUCUUAUCCUCUUCCGGCCCCUCACGCGAGGUGGUCUGUGAUCUGAGAUGUAUGCGGUUUUUCCUUUGCUAA